GCUCCCCUAUGGACAAGCAAUGGGAAGAAAGCCCAUUACUACAUGUGCAUAAACAGAAAGAUCACGUUGUUUUCAUCUUUCACCAUGAGGAGAAGAGGAGCACUACUGGAAGAAGAGGGCAACUUACGGUAUGUGACACUAAAGGGUACCUUUGAACUCAUCAUCUGUGAGAUGCUUCAAGGUUCUAUUAAGGUAGAGCAGCAGAUCAUCCAGGUCCUUUGUGUUGCCUUGGGCUACAGCAUCAAAGAUCCUUCUGCGGUCAUAAAAUUUGAAGGCUUUUUCUGAGCAGCCUGUGAUGGAAUCUGUAGACAGGAGCCUAACAAGGGUAAAUUUCAGUUACUCAAAGACAGAUAUUUAGUAGACUUUUUAUAAACUACCAGAAUACUAUUUUUCAUUUGCUUGUGUGAAGUAGUAAGUGCUACAGAAUAGUAUAGAUGGAUCUGCAAAGUCUACAAGAUCAACAAAGUCUGCAAGCAACUGUCCUGAUAAAACUAUGUAUCUGUUCCUGAGAAGUUGUUGAAGUAUGGCAGUGUAACUGCAGGCGUGGGAGCCAGGCAAUCCCAUGUUCUCAUUCUGAGUGAUGUCCACUCACUGAACAGUCUCAAGCAAGUGAAUUAAGGCCUACUGCUAAUUUUGGGCAAAAUAUCCAUGGACUGAAUUUUCAGAGAUGCCAAGAGACAACAGCUAUUGUCACAGAUGCAACGCUCCUUAUUUUGGCAUAGAAAAUAGUGAAACUGAAAAAAUGGGCACGGUUUUGCAGAGAGAAUAAAUGCUGCUCUAAGAAA